rnacentral:lncRNA from 1 species
UCGAAAAUUUGGAAGAAUGUCAAACCUUUCAUCGACUGGUUGCAGAGUGCUGAGUCCGAGUCCGAGGAAGACUGAUAUCACAACUGUCCUUCCUUAUUUAGUCUUUUCUCUGCAGGCUUAUGUUCUUUCAUCUUUUUGGCUGUUCUUAUGUGAUGGAGUCUAUUUACGAGUUCAGUAUUUCAUGUUUUCUUCUUUAUUUGGGGUUUUCUAGGGUCUCUACUUUUAUAUUGCUUGAUACUUUUGUCCUGCAAUCCGUGUCUGUCUUGAAUUAAGUUGAAUAAGUUUUCUAUGGGAAUAAAAAAUCUAAGCUAUAUAUAAGUGUUGUGCGUUAAUUAUUUUUAGUAUCCAGUUCAUAGAAACUUUCUUGAAUAAGUAAAAUAUUGUUGUG